UGGUGUGUUUGGAUAUUCUGUGUUUGCUU
rnacentral:piRNA from 1 species